rnacentral:rRNA from 1 species
GGGGGCGGGGCAACCUAACCAUGCAAGUCGAGCGGUACACAGGGAGCUUGCUCCUGGGUGACGAGCGGCGGACGGGUGAGUAAUGUCUGGGAAACUGCCUGAUGGAGGGGGAUAACUACUGGAAACGGUAGCUAAUACCGCAUAACGUCGCAAGACCAAAGAGGGGGACCUUCGGGCCUCUUGCCAUCAGAUGUGCCCAGAUGGGAUUAGCUAGUAGGUGGGGUAACGGCUCACCUAGGCGACGAUCCCUAGCUGGUCUGAGAGGAUGACCAGCCACACUGGAACUGAGACACGGUCCAGACUCCUACGGGAGGCAGCAGUGGGGAAUAUUGCACAAUGGGCGCAAGCCUGAUGCAGCCAUGCCGCGUGUAUGAAGAAGGCCUUCGGGUUGUAAAGUACUUUCAGCGGGGAGGAAGGUGUUGAGGUUAAUAACCUCAGCAAUUGACGUUACCCGCAGAAGAAGCACCGGCUAACUCCGUGCCAGCAGCCGCGGUAAUACGGAGGGUGCAAGCGUUAAUCGGAAUUACUGGGCGUAAAGCGCACGCAGGCGGUCUGUCAAGUCGGAUGUGAAAUCCCCGGGCUCAACCUGGGAACUGCAUUCGAAACUGGCAGGCUAGAGUCUUGUAGAGGGGGGUAGAAUUCCAGGUGUAGCGGUGAAAUGCGUAGAGAUCUGGAGGAAUACCGGUGGCGAAGGCGGCCCCCUGGACAAAGACUGGCGCUCAGGUGCGAAAGCCUGGGGAGGAAACAGGAUUAGAUACCCUGGGAAUCCACGCCCCAAAACAUAUCCACAUUGAAGGUGUGCCCCUGAGAGGCGGGCUUCCCGAAAUAACACGCUUAUACGCCCACCCUCGGGGGGUACUACCGCCGAGGGUGAUACAUUUCAUAUAUUUAUCGGAGGGGCGCCCCACAACAGGCGGUGGAAUGGGGUGAUUUUAUUUCGAUGCAAGGGAGAAGUAUCCUAACUUAGUCGUGGCCGGCAGGAGUUCUUUACAAGAAGUUGGGUUCGUCUGCUAGCAGAAAAAUAAAAAAAGGCGGGUGCUU